UGUUGCAGCUGUGUGUGUGUGUGACGCAGUAGUGAGGGGGAGGGACACCAAACCUUCAGUAUAUGGACCACCCUCCACCACCAUGGCCACCCAUCACCCUCUCACCUGCCUGGCCAUGCACCAACCCCUCUACUCCUCCACCACAUGGCCACGUACUGGUCCAUCCCCUCUGCACUCACCACCCAGGCUCUACUGUAUGGCCAAACAUGAGCCCCUCUACUGUUUAACAAAGCAUCAGGCGCUGUACUGUACUGUGUGGCCUCAUGCUAGUCCUUCGUCACCAAGGUAAGACCCCCAAUGUGAUGCUGGCCGGAUGUAGACACCGGCCUGACAGAGGUACGUCAACCAUCUUUCCCCAGCUAGUGUAGUGCUUAUUCACCCUUCAGCUGGCUACCCACGUCAUCAUGCAGGUAGGUGGAAGGAAGGGUGGGUGAUGGUUUACCUGGCCAGAGUUGAUCAUUAUAAAGGUAAAUACUUUGUCAUGGAAGAAGGUGAAGGAGGAGGUCAGCUAAGGACUGUAGUUUUUUAUGUAGUUUUAGGUAAAGUUGUGUAUC